AUUGAACGCUGGCGGCAGGCCUAACACAUGCAAGUCGAACGAGUGGCGGACGGGGGAGUAAUGGCUGGGAAACUGCACGAGGGAGGGGGAUAACUACUGGAAAAGGUAGCUAAUACCGCAUACCAUCGGAUGUGCCCAGAUGGGAUUAGCUAGUAGGUGGGGUAACGGCACACCGAGGCGCCGAUCCCUAGAUGGUCUGAGAGGAUGACCAGCCACACUGGAACUGAGACACGGUCCAGACUCCUACGGGAGGCAGCAGUGGGGAAUAUUGCACAAUGGGCGCAAGCCUGAUGCAGCCAUGCCGCGUGUAUGAAGAAGGCCUUCGGGUUGUAAAGUACUUUCAGCGAGGAGGCGUUACUCGCAGAAGAAGCACCGGCUAACUCCGUGCCAGCAGCCGCGGUAAUAC
rnacentral:rRNA from 1 species